GGUUUCAUCUGCCCUCCUGUCCCUUUUCAGAACUAGACUCCUCCGUGCUCUUGGCGACUAUAUAUGGCUAGGAGAUUUGGGGCCUGCAUUCUACCUACUAUUACAGUGUCGGUCUAGAACACCCUAAUUAGCUUGUGGCCUUUAGGGAAACCCCUUUUUCUGGAAAUUCAACCUCAUUUCAUUUCUUAGUCUAAAAUUGUGGCGCUCCCAAGAUUUACCUAUUUAAAAUGGAUAUGGGAUGGGGGAGUUCUAGUUUUAAAAGGUCAAAUCAUCUUUUUAGCAGCAGUUUUGGGCUUUUUCUUGCACUCUCGGAGCAUGUAAGUUAACACUAGUCAUAAGUGCUAAAAGGAAUUUUGACAGAUCGUUUUGUUUCCUUUUCCUCCCAGAGUUUGCACUUUGCUCUUUAAGCAUAAAAGCUCAGUAGAGAAAGCUGGUUGGUGGUGAAAAGAAAUGUGAGCCCUGCUUUGCAAUAUGCCCGAGCACACUGUGUUCUUGGCUUUCUGGAAAUGGGAGAAGUGGGGGACAUAUUAUUUUGGGUGAAUCAUGCCAUCUAAAAAGACACAACCUGAAAAGAGUGAUUAUAUCUUUACACGUGUGUUUUAGAACUGUUUGUUUGGGUCUGUUUGAAACUCAUUCUUUUCAGCCAAGUAACAGAAUGCCUGGCUAGGGAUGGGCAUCCAUCGCGUGCUCCUGGCCUCACCCUGAAUGGGGAGGCAGUAACCUGGCUGGGGGCAGUCACAAAGCCUGAAUCCCCUAGUAAAGGAAACUUUGAGGGACUUAGCAGAAACAGCUCCAUGUUUCCCAAGACUAUACAGGAGAGUCCUCUGUGGCUUAAGUCCCUUGUAAAUCAGUAAGUACAAAAUAUAUAUAUAACCAAUUCCUUCCAUAAAAUACCUUGUACCAAAGAAGUCAAGUUGGCUGUAAACAGAUAUGAUAGUGGAACUUCCUUGGAUCUAGGGGAAGGUUGUCUACCUUGGAACCAAUUUACACAGUCCUGAAUCUCUUACAAUAUAGUCCCUUUACAUACCCUACCGAAUUCUUUCAUUUGAGGUUUGGAAAGAUUUUGUUUGUUUCAUGUAUCUUCUACUUUAAAUACUUUAAGGUUGCUGGUUUCUAUGUUGUGGGUGCAGGGAAGCAAGAACAGUCCCAAAGAAAUCAUAAAUUGCAUUAUUAUAGAUCUAUAUCCAGAAUUGACCUAUCUCUUUGUGGUUGUAAUAAUUGCUAUGUGUUUAGAGCCUAGAUUUUACGGAGUCAGUUUCUACAGAAUAUUUAUGCCCUGAAAACUUUGCCAAUGCAAACUUUUUAAUGGGAUCUCAAAUUACAUGGAAGUCAUUGUAGUCUGUUGGUUGGUUGUCUGUCUGCUUUAGGCAGCACCAUGAGCAGCAGACACUGAAGCCUGGGUGUUCACUUCUAUACAGUGUUCUGUCACAGAAGCAUGGUACAGUGAAGUUUGAGUUAGCAGGGUGCCUUUUCAAUAUUUUGGAAAGAAUUGUGCAAUACUAAAUCCACAACUAAAACAGCAAGAAACCACAAGUUCCAGAAUUGAAAGAGAACAUGCCUUUGUGGUUUAAAUGUUGAACUUCCUCAAAAGAGGGAGAGCAUAGGCCUUUUUAUUAGCAUACAAAGAAUUAGGUUUCAUGACAGCAUUUUUCAAACAAAAUUUUUGCUGUUGUUUCUCUUCACCCCACCCCCACCCCCAGUCCCCUUCCUUUCCUGUGUCCUUUGACCCCUGUAGCCUCCUUUCUGCUUUUCUGUUACAUCUGACCUCUUGACCUUUCCCCUUUCUCAAUAGUUCUUGUUCCCCUCUUGUAGCCUCCUACCUAGUUUCAUAGUCUACACCCACUCUAACACAUACCUCCAUUUACCUACAUACAAACUCCAGAAUUUAGAAUCUGCAUAUAGGAGAGAACAUGAGAAUUUGGGGAGGGGGUUGUUGUUGUAGUUGUUGCUGUUGGGGGGGUUGUUUUGUUUUUGUUUCUAUCUUUCUGAGUCCCGGUCACCUUACUUUAAUAUGAUUCUUUGUGGAUGCAUCUAUUUUCUUGCAAAUUUCAUAAUUGUAUUUUUCUUUAUGGUUAAGUAAAAUCCCACUGGAUAUAUGUGCCACGUUCUCAUUCUCCAUUCUUCUAUUGGUGGGCUUCUGGGCUGGUUCCAUUUCCUUCUUGUGAAUAAUGUAGCAACAAACAUGGUUAUGCAGAUAGCUCUGUAGUUGGAUAUAGAAUCCUUUGGGCAUAUGCCUAGGACUGAUGUGGUAGUUCUAUGGUAUGGUGUGGUAUGGUAUGGUAUUGUAUAGUAGUUUAUUUUAAUUCCUUUUAGACAGCGCCAUACUGGUUUCCAUAACAUAUAUUGGGUUUACACUCCCAAUACUGAAUAAGGGUUCCUCUUUCCCCAUAUCCCUGCCAGCAUUUAUUGUCAUUUUUUCCCCCUUGAUCAUAGCCAUUCCUAUGGGAGUGGAAUGAAAUCCCAAAGUGGAUUUAAUUUCCGUUUUGAAGGGAAAGCUUCUAAAGGAAUAUUUUAAAUCAUUGAUGGCCAUGGUGCUGUAGUUUGAACUUGAACUCUAAGUGACUAUGUGGAGCCACACUGGUGACUACUUGCCUCAUUUCCUUAUUUUUAACUUGGGUCUGGUGAAUCUGGGUAAUACAGUCUUCAGCAGAAGUUCAAAAAUCUUCCUCCUCCAUCAAGAAGAGUCACUGGUUUCUCACUCAGCCUGCAGUGAACACAUACUUACCAAGUGCCCUAAUACACAAGCACCACACAGGAAACAAUGGGAUCUGUAGUAGUCUCACUUCCUCACACCAGUACUGUAAAGCAAGAAAGAGAAGUGUCUGGAGAAGAGGAACCAGGAAGGGCUUUCUGAAGGGUGUUCCGAGUUCUCUGUGACUUCUUCAUACCUCUUGGGUGUCCAGCAGAGGCAGAAGAACAGCCCCAAGUGCUCAACACAACGCCCAAGAGAUUUCCUGGGAUUGUCAUACUCAGUAGAUCGUAAGGCCGACCCGCUGCUUCCAGCCAGGUGCCAUAUCACUCCGAUGGACCUGAGUUGUUCGGAGUAUUGGGACUUUGUUGGAACCCAGCCCCCAUGAGCUAUGUUGUUUUCCAGCAUAACCACAGGUAUCUCCUGUUUUCCUGACCUCACCCCACUAGGAUCAAUAUCCUGUUGUGAACCCUCUGACCUGGGGUUUU